rnacentral:tRNA from 1 species
GCCCUUUUAGUCUAGUGGUUAGGACCUUGCCUUUUCACGGCAAAAACACGGGUUCGAGUCCCGUAAAGGGUA